GAUUAGUGAUAAGAAAGAAUCGUCUACCACCAUCAAUUUUUCUUAUCCCUCAGCUGGGAACUCCUUUGCGUCUUCCUUGACGGGUGAUGCGACAGAUAGUAAACAGCUAUCGUCUUCAUCAGCGUUUCAGAUUCAGAUUACCAAUCUGUCUCAGGUUUCAUCAGCUGGAAAGCCUCCCCUUUCUUCAUCUUCCUUGAAGAGGAAGUGUAGCUCUGAAAAUCUGGGUUCUGGCAAGUGCAGUGGAUCGUCUGGUCGGUGCCAUUGCUCUAAGAAGAGCAGAAAGUUGAGACUGAGGAGAGUGGUGAG
rnacentral:misc_RNA from 1 species